UUUAUUCGAGAGCAAAAAUAUUAAAUAAGGAUUUAAACCUCUCCGCGCCAACCAUCCAACCACUUUCGCUUUCUAGUCUUUACCGAACCUGGUUUAACAGCAACGACAAGAAAUGUCAAGGAGUCAUUUCUUCAAACACCUAUCGUACACUCUCGUUCACCACCACCGCCCAUCAUAUCUUUCUCCUCCACUCUCGGUUUACAAAUUUCCACAUCGAUGGAAGAAACCCAGCUCUUCCUCACUCUUCUCAAAAUCUCCCAUUUCUUCUUCUUCUUCUUCAUCACUCUUCUCUUCUUCUUCAGUCACCGCCUCGCCCUCAACAACAACAAGUGAAUCCUAUGCUUACCUUUCUGUUCUCAUUCGAUGCCCCAAACAUGUCGCUGAUAGCCUUUCAGAGGCCCUUUUAUGUUUUGGUGCCAGUUCUACAAGUAUGGAUGAAGAUGAUGACUUUGAUGGUUCUAAUGAGGUCUGCAUUGAUUCCAUAUUUCCUGAAUUUGAAGAUGUGGACAUGUGCCUUUCACAAGCAGCCAAUUCCAUUGGCUUGAAAGAGACACCCCCUUAUGAGGUUAAUCUUGGGGAUCAAUAUGAAUGGGUUCGGAAAACUCAGGAAUCAUUUCAUCCAGUUGAAGUAACUGAAGGACUUUGGAUUGUGCCCGAGUGGAGAUCCCCCCCUGAUGUUCAAGCAACAAAUAUAAUCCUGAAUCCUGGAUUAGCUUUUGGAACCGGGGAGCACCCUACUACUAAGUUAUGUCUGUUGCUACUAAAAAAGUUAAUAAAGGGCGAAGAACUUUUCUUGGAUUAUGGCACAGGUUCUGGAGUUCUUGCAAUUGCAGCACUGAAGUUUGGUGCUGCUUUAUCAGUUGGAUUUGAUAUAGAUCCUCAAGCAAUCAUGUCUGCACGUCAUAAUGCCACUCUGAACAGUAUAGGACCUGAGACAAUGGAAUUGCACCUGGUUCCUGGCAAAACCUGCUCCUCCUUGGAUGGAAGAGAAGAUGAAAUGGUGAAAGAGCAGAGCUGUUGCGGAACUGGAGUCAUCUCUGGAACAGAGAAAUAUGAUGUGGUCAUUGCUAAUAUUCUCUUGAAUCCUCUCUUGGAUUUGGCAGAUCAUAUUGUUUCUUAUGCUAAACCUUGGGCAGUUGUUGGCAUUUCUGGUAUUAUAUCCGAGCAGGUAUGAUCUGCAGUGGCUAGAUACAGUCGAUUUCAGUCUCAUGCUGGCAUAGCCAUUCUUCCCAUUUGCAGAUAAGUGAGAUCCCUUGAUGAGAUAACAGGAAUUGACAUCGAUGUAUCCCAUGCAUACGGGAUCUUCAGUGCUCAUGUAUUGUGGAUCGGUAUUCAAUGCUCUUGGAAGACAUAUCAGUGUCAGAGAUGGAUGGUUGGGCCUGUGUAAGUGGAAGGAAGAAAAUUUAGUUUAAUAGAAGUUGAAGAAGAUCCUAGACACUACUAAAACUAUGAGCAUAUACACCACGGGCUGAAUUUGAAAUUCAUUUGUCGAUAGCUGCGAUCACUCUCAAGUCAUGUAGAUCCGGUGGAAUUCUGAAAGCCUUGUUGCUAACAUCAUUCCAUCCUGGGGCGUGGAAUAUUGUGAAACUCUCUUGUGGUGCAUCAAACCUGAGAAAGGGUUGCAGUUUUUCGGAGGUGAUAUUUCUCACCUUGCGUUUAGUCUUUGAAAAACAUUAUUGUCUCAUUAAUUGAUCUGGGUGGGUCUCAAAGAAUUGCAAAUCUGCCUGCAAAAGCUUUUCAACUAGCAUAGUUCUGAAGAAGGUUAACUGUACAGAUAGCUGAGAUUAAAUUGUCCAUUUCAUCAUCAAGGCUUUCGGACCCCUUUUCUAA